rnacentral:tRNA from 1 species
UAGCUCAGUUGGUAAAGAGUCUGCCUGCAAUGCAGGAGACCUGGGUUCAAAUCCUGG